AUUGAACGCUGGCGGCAUGCUUUACACAUGCAAGUCGAACGGCAGCACGGACUUCGGUCUGGUGGCGAGUGGCGAACGGGUGAGUAACAUAUCGGAACGUAUCCAAUAAUGGGGGAUAACGAGUCGAAAGAUUCGCUAAUACCGCAUACGCCCUACGGGGGAAAGAUGGGGACAUUCGGGCCUGCCGUUAAUGGGUCGCGCGAUAUCUGAUAAGCUAGUUGGUGAGGUAAAGGCUCACCAAGGCGACGAUCAGUAGCUGGUCUGAGAGGGACGACCAGCCACACUGGAACUGAGACACGGUCCAGACUCCUACGGGAGGCAGCAGUGGGGAAUUUUGGACAAUGGGCGCAAGCCUGAUCCAGCCAUUCCGCGUGAGUGAAGAAGGCCUUCGGGUUGUAAAGCUCUUUCGCAAGGGAAGAAAACUUAGCCACUAACAUUGGUUGAGGUUGACGGUACCUUGAUAAGAAGCACCGGCUAACUACGUGCCAGCAGCCGCCGUAA
rnacentral:rRNA from 1 species